AUACCGCCCUAGUUCUAACCAUAAACGAUGCCAACUAGCGAUCCGCCUGAGUUCCUCAAAUGACUCGGCGGGCAGCUUCCGGGAAACCAAAGUGUUUGGGUUCCGGGGGAAGUAUGGUUGCAAAGCUGAAACUUAAAGGAAUUGACGGAAGGGCACCACCAGGAGUGGAGCCUGCGGCUUAAUUUGACUCAACACGGGAAAACUUACCCGGCCCGGACACUGGAAGGAUUGACAGAUUAAGAGCUCUUUCUUGAUUCAGUGGGUGGUGGUGCAUGGCCGUUCUUAGUUGGUGGAGCGAUUUGUCUGGUUAAUUCCGAUAACGAACGAGACUCUAGCCUACUAAAUAGGCGUUCCGAUCCUUUAUGUCGGACGUUCUUCUUAGAGGGACAAGCGGCUUUUAGCCGCACGAGACAGAGCAAUAACAGGUCUGUGAUGCCCUUAGAUGUCCGGGGCCGCACGCGCGCUACACUGAAGGAAUCAGCGUGUGCUUUCCCUGUCUGGUAGGACUGGGUAACCCGUUAAACCUCCUUCGUGAUAGGGAUAGGGAUUUGUAAUUGUUCCCUUGAACGAGGAAUUCCCAGUAAGCACGAGUCAUAAGCUCGUGUUGAUUACGUCCCUGCCCUUUGUACACACCGCCCGUCGCUACUACCGAUUGAAUGAUUUAGUGAGGUCUUCGGACUGGCGCUCGUAGCGACCUUUGGCCGCGCCGACGUGCCGGAAAGAUGACCAAACUUGAUCAUUUAGAGGAAGUAAAAGU
rnacentral:rRNA from 1 species